rnacentral:ncRNA from 1 species
AAGGUCAAUUCAGUAAAAGGUUUCCGCCAAAAGCGGGAUUAAUAAGGAACCGUGUGUAAAUCACGGGCAGACGUGCUACUGUAAGUUUAUUCCGAUGAUGGGGUUACACUCUGUCAACGGCUGUACAGCAAUCACGCCACUACAGUGCGCAAUGGCGCAGUGGGAAGGCGCUCUACAGAAAACAAGCCAGGAUACUUGCCUUUUUUAUUGUAAAUGA